CGACCCACAGUGCGAACGAAGAGCAAGUGGAAACAUAAAGUAAUACCCCUUCUAACUAUCCAAUCCUUCUCCCAUUCGACCCACUCCCUUCCUUUCAGAACACAGUGUGUGGUGUAUGGCACGAACACAUCCAGCCCCGAAUAUACCGCGACGUAAACAGUAUAUACAGACGCAAUGCAUAAGAAACGAACGCAUACAACUAAAUAGGUGCAUACAGAAAUUCCCUCCCAAUAUAUUCAUUCGAAUUCCUACGUGUAACCAAGCAACAUCGCUUAAUAAACCAGUGUUAAAUUGUUAUUCAAAAGGCUUUUAUUCUACCGUUAACGUGUUCCAACCAGUUUUUUUUACAGAGUGUAAUUCCUGAGCUAUCGCUAUCGAAAUUUCCUUCAGGCGAAGGAUCCGGCAUCCCUCAAUGGUGUGAUCCACCAUUUUUUGGUCCUUCGAACCGGAUCACAACCGGUUUUUUCAGUUGCAGUUGGCAACUUGUGGGAUUUUCCAUUUGUGAAAAAAGACAUUGACUGGUUUUGCUCAUAGUGACCGUGUGAAACAAAUGAAAAAGUGUGAUCGAACAAAGUCGCGCAUGGGAGCGUAUCGCUUUAACGUGUCCGAACGUGUUACGAGAAUAUAAAUAAAGUGUGCAAACUUUACGAGCUUGUUUGAACGUUUGUGUGACGAUUGGGUGUGAAAAAUCAAAGUGUUUCUUAAGUAACUUAUGCCAAUGCAGCACACACCAGUGAAAAUAAAUCCUAAAGAAAGGAUGGCGGAUUUGAAAAUGCUGACUCAUUUGCGUGGCCAAGCGAAAGCAAAAAUCACACGCAUUCGUAACGUUGUCGAGGCAGCCGCUGGUGCGAGUGUGAUUGAGUAUGAUGCCGCACAGUUAAAAGUGUAUUCGCGAAAUUUGGAAGGACAUUUCCAAGAAUGUGUGGGCCUUCAUCAUCAAAUUGUUGCUAUGUCUCCGGUGGAAAAAAUUGAAGAUCACGAUCAAUGGUACCUCACUUUUGAGGAACAAUAUAACGAGACGUGCAUCCUCGUAGAGAGAAUGGUACAAUCGAUGUGUUCAACCCCAGUGUCCAAUGCUCAACGUGUUGAAUUGCCACCAAUUGAUAACCCUCGCAUUAUCGUCCAGCAGCAACCAUUGAAGGCUCCCAUUCCAACCUUCGAUGGUAAACCCGAACAUUGGCCACGAUUUAAGGCAAUGUUUUGUGACGUCAUGCGAGCUUCCACCGAUUCCGAUUGCAUCAAGCUCUAUCAUCUGGAGCGAUCGUUGGUAGGAGCUGCUGCCGGCAUAAUUGACGCUCGAACUUUGAAUGACAACAAUUAUUCCCAUGCAUGGGAAAUAUUGGAGGAAAGGUUUGAGAAUAAACGAGUAAUCGUGGAUACUCAUAUUCAAGGAUUGCUGAACCUCCAGCAGAUGUGUAGUGAGAACCCAACGGAACUGCGAGAGCUCAUCGAUGAAGUAACUCGACAUGUCGAUGGAUUAGCGGUGCUGAAGGAAGAGUUAGUUGGAGUUUCUGAACGCUUUGUGGUAAAUCUCAUGACUGCAGCUUUAGAUAAAGAAACAAGAAAGAUGUGGGAAGCAUCUGUUCCACACAAAGCAAUUCCGUCCUACGAAGAUACAAUUAAUUUUUUGAAGAAACGUUGUGCCAUCCUCGAACGCUGCGAAAGUGCACCGUAUAGCUGUCCAGCGAGAGCAACCGAUCCAGUAAAGAAGCCCAUCAGCUUGAUUAAAAGUACAGCUACCAUCACUGCGAACAAGGACGCUACCUGCGAACUGUGUGCUGGUGCACACCAUAACUUCAGGUGUGAGGUUCUCCGUGCGAUGUCCGUCCCGCAACGUCAAUCCAAAGUAAGAGAACUGAGAUUGUGUUAUAACUGCCUGCGCAAAGGACAUCAAACCAGCAGCUGCAACUCAACCCGAACCUGCCAACGGUGUCAAGGUAAGCACCACACACUGUUACACCUUGAUAGAUUUCCAAAUGUCAUGUCAGUUGCAUCUACUGACAAUCCCAAUCCCUCUUCCUCUGAUGCUUUGUCCCAACUUGCUACUACCACUUGCUCAGUAAGCGAUACUCCACGCCUUGGAAAUAGUCUGUUAAUGACAGCUGUCGUUAGUGUUUUAGACAGCAAUGGUAAAUUCUAUUCGUGCCGUGCGUUCUUAGAUUGUGGAUCUCAAGCUAAUUUAGUAUCAUCUAGACUCAUCGACACACUGAACAUCCCACGCAUUCCUGCUAAUAUUGAGAUUAUUGGAGCCAACGACAGAAGAUCCACUCUGAAAGAAAUGGUUAAAAUUGAAAUACGAUCUAUGCACAGCAACUUCCUAGCUCAUUUGGAUUGUCUUGUAACAAAUAAAAUAACGGGUGUGAUACCUUCUCGUAAAUUCGAUACACGAGUUUGGCCCAUGCCUUCCGGAUUGCCUCUUGCUGAUCCAACAUUUCACACUCCCGGUGAGGUAGACCUCUUGAUCGGAAUCAAUUUGUUUUUCAAACUUUUGAUGCCAGGUCAGUUGCAAUUAUCUGAUGAACUUCCUAUUCUUCAAGAGACUCGCUUGGGCUGGAUUGUUGCUGGUUCUAUUGAUGAGGUCAAUCAAUCUCAGAGCAUACAUCAAUAUUGUGUAGUGUCUUCGGAACCACUUUCCAAAUCUUUGGAAAGGUUUUGGUCCUUAGAAGCUGUUGAAUCACCUCCAGCACUGACAAAUGAAGAGAAAGAAUGCGAAGAAAUUUAUUGUUCCACUACGCGGCGUAACACUGAAGGCCGUUACAUCGUACAGUUGCCUCUGAAGGAUUCAGUAUCUAAGUUGAACAAUAAUCGCUCCCUUGCUCUUCGUCGAUUUCUCAUGCUUGAACAAAGAUUUAAGAAAAAUCCAGAGAUGAAACAACAAUAUGUCCAAUUCAUUGAUGAAUACAAAGCUCUCGGCCAUUGUAAGCAAAUAUCUGAGUUUGGAGAUACUCCAGAAACGCUAACGUACUAUCUUCCACAUCAUGCAGUGCUCAAACCGACGAGCUCGUCUACUAAACUUAGAGUAGUAUUCGAUGCUUCAGCCAAAUAUUCAGGUCUUUCACUCAAUGAGAUCUUGAUGACAGGUCCGAUCAUCCAAGAUGAUCUUUUCUCGAUCCUUUUGAGAUUCCGUAGGCAUCGUUACGCCUGUACUGCAGAUAUUUCAAAGAUGUAUCGGCAAAUAAGUGUUGACAGUAAUCAAACGUCGUUACAAAGAAUCUUUUGGAGGAAAGAGCCAUCAGAUCCAUUAGAGGUUCUUGAAUUGACAACCGUUACUUAUGGGACCUCUAGUGCUCCAUUUCUCGCCAUCCGAACACUCCAUCAGUUAGCAUCAGACGAAUUAGAACGUUUUCCCACCGCUGCGAGAAUUGUGAAUGAACAUUUUUACGUGGAUGAUGCUCUUUUUGGUGCUGAUACUAUCGAGGAUGCUAUUCAGUACCGUACAGAAUUGACCAAACUAUUGAACUGUGGAGGAUUCCCGAUUCAUAAAUGGUGUGCUAACGAAGAAGCUAUAAUACAAUCAAUACCGGAUGAAGAAAGAGAGAAAUAUCUUACAUUUAAAGACGCAGAUAUCAACCAGUCAAUUAAAACGCUAGGAUUACUAUGGGAUCCAAAGAACGAUGUAUUUAUGUUCCUCGCCAAGUCCGUUUGUUCCUUAGUUGAUCCACCUACAAAAAGACGUGUGCUUUCUGAAAUAGCAAAGCUGUUUGACCCCCUCGGCCUGUUGUCGCCGAUAAUUAUGAUAGCCAAGGUUAUAAUGCAGCAGAUAUGGUUAAGUCGUUUGCAUUGGGAUGACAUGAUAGAUGGGAAACUACUUCAAGAUUGGCAUAAGUUCCGUGAAUCUCUGCAUCAAUUGCAUCAAAUAAAAAUUCCUCGAUAUGUGGGCGUACUUGCAGGAAAUAUCUAUGAAAUUCAUGGUUUUGCGGAUGCAUCCAAUCUUGCAUACGGCGCAUGUAUCUACAUUCGGGCAGUGUCCAUUGAAAGUGUAAAGGUUUCUCUGCUAUGUAGCAAAUCGAAGAUAGCUCCACUUAAGGGUCUUACAAUACCAAGAAUGGAACUUUGUGCGGUACUUUUGCUUUCUCGGCUGUCUUCUAAGGUUAUCCCCGCUCUCAAAAUGGAGUUUAAUCAGAUUACAUAUUAUUCAGACAGUCAAAUCGUCCUUGCUUGGCUGAAAAAACCACCGAAUCAGUUGAAUUUAUUUGUUCGGAACCGCAUCAUGGAGAUUACCAACCAGACACAAAACGCGCAAUGGAAGUUCAUCCGAACAGAACAUAAUCCCGCAGAUGUGGUAUCGCGUGGACAGUUGCCCUCAACAUUAGCCAACAAUCAAUUGUGGUGGAAUGGACCGCCUUUUCUUCAGAAUCACGAGUACCACAUUGAAGAACCCGAUCGCUUCCCAGAUGAUAAACUACCAGAAUGGAAGUCUGCCCUGGUAUCCACAGCACUUGUUUGCCCAGAUAUCCUCCAGAUCAUGACUGAUAUAAGCUCCUUCAGAAAAUUACAAAGAAUUGUUGGUUACGUUAUGAGAUUUUUUCACAACUCGAAGUCACCCAGAUCCGAACGAAUCCAUUGCCAAUUUCUUACAAUUCCUGAGUUGAAACAUUCGAUGCAAGUUAUUGUAAGAUAUAUACAACACACGUAUCUAAUCAAUGAAAUUAAUGCUUUGAGAUCUGGAGAACCUACCCGAAGGCUUAUUGGUCUUAGUCCUAUCCUAAAUAAUGAUCUUUUGAGAGUUGGAGGUAGAUUACAAAAUUCUUUGUUGCCAUACGAGGCUAAACACCAGCUUGUGCUACCUGACAAAAACACCAUUACGGAGUCUCUCAUACGAGCUCUACACGAAGAAAAUUUGCAUGUUGGUCCAUCGGGCUUGAUUUCCAUAAUUCGUCAAAGAUUCUGGCUCCUCAAUGCUCGAAACACCGUAAGAAAGGUAAUAAGAUCAUGUGUUGUUUGCUUUCGAGCGAAUCCACAACUGGUACAGCCAACUAUGGGUAACUUACCCGAAGCCCGAGUUGUUCCUGCCGCUCCUUUCGCCAAAACAGGUUUGGAUUUUGCUGGUCCAGUUUUCAUACGUCAAGGAAUACGGAAAACAGUAAUCAGAAAGGCUUAUAUAUCUCUGUUCAUUUGCAUGACCACCAAGGCUAUUCAUUUUGAGCUCGUGUCAGAUUUAUCCUCAGCUGCAUUCAUAGCAGCGCUGCACCGUUUUGUCGCGCGACGUGGUCUCAUUGAAGAGCUGCACUCCGAUCACGGAACCAAUUUUGUCGGCGCUAAAUCUGAACUGCACGAAUUAUACCUCAUGUUCAAGGAAGACCAGAUGCGGUAUAAAUUGAAUGAUUUCCUUCAGCCACGAGAGAUAACAUGGAAGUUCAUCCCACCCCGUGCCCCAAAUUUUGGAGGGUUAUGGGAGGCCGGUGUAAAGAGUACCAAAACACAUCUCAAGAAAAUUCUCGGUGGCGCAUCCUUGACUUUCGAAGAGUACUACACAGUUCUGACUCAGAUUGAGGCGAUCCUUAAUUCCCGCCCUUUAUUUGCUCAUUCCACUGAUCCCACAGAACCAGAAGCGAUCACGCCCGCUCAUUUCCUCGUGGGGCGUCCACUAACAGCCAUUCCAGAACCUAUUCUAGAAGAAAUACCAAUCAAUCGUUUAACACGAUGGCAACAUCUACAGCAAUUGAGAGAUCAUUUUUGGCGACGUUGGUCCAAAGAAUAUUUGAAUACGUUACAGUCUCGACAAAAGUGGACUAAGGCAUCGAAGAAUGUAACCCCGGGAGUUGUAGUAUUACUAAAAGAAGACAAUUUACCACCACAAUCAUGGAGACUAGGAAAAAUCGUGAAUGUAUAUCCAGGAAUUGAUUCUACCGUCAGAGUGGUUGAUGUCCAAACAUCAACAGGUUUAUACCGUCGUCCUGUUUCAAAACUGGCACCGCUUCCAAUUGAAACAAAUUUGUCCAACGCAUCUUAGUUGAGCCCGGGGGGAGAAUGUUCGCGACCCACAGUGCGAACGAAGAGCAAGUGGAAACAUAAAGUAAUACCCCUUCUAACUAUCCAAUCCUUCUCCCAUUCGACCCACUCCCUUCCUUUCAGAACACAGUGUGUGGUGUAUGGCACGAACACAUCCAGCCCCGAAUAUACCGCGACGUAAACAGUAUAUACAGACGCAAUGCAUAAGAAACGAACGCAUACAACUAAAUAGGUGCAUACAGAAAUUCCCUCCCAAUAUAUUCAUUCGAAUUCCUACGUGUAACCAAGCAACAUCGCUUAAUAAACCAGUGUUAAAUUGUUAUUCAAAAGGCUUUUAUUCUACCGUUAACGUGUUCCAACCAGUUUUUUUUACAGAGUACAAUCAAGAAAAUCAAGUGUAACAGUGCAAUAUUAGGAUGCUCUUGAUGUAAAAUAAUCAAGCUAAAUUCGCCAAUUAGAUGUGAUACCUUACCAGGCAUGUGAAAAUCAACCGACCACCAUUCGAUGGGAUUCUGCAAACAAUUUUCUUCAAAUUCUAACACACCACAAAUCUGACCACACUGACAACAAAUCGUGCUUUGUUCUCUUUGAUUUGAAAAUAUUUACCUGAUGCUAGAACAAGAAAAUGGCACCAAUUACGUAUUUCGAUGGGAAUUACAAUAACAGUUGAAGAAAUUUGUUAGCAAAUUCCGGUUCCUUCUUUGCACACAUGGUACUUAUCCAAUUCCCAAUGCUCGGCUUUAUUUUUUAAAUUAUUUUCAAUGAAAAACAAUUGAUAUUAGGCACAAUUGUACUUAGACAUUCGUUUAUUUGUAGACCAUUCGUAAUUCCCUCCGAUUAUAUCAGUAUCAAUUGGAAUAAUUUAGAUGAGGAACAGUGCUCGUCUACACAGAAUUCUUCAUCCAUUGACCCGACCAUCUAUGAUUUUAUCAAAACGUUAUGGUGACAAAAACAUAUAAAAUAAUACUAAAUCAGAUCUAAACAUAGAAAUUUGGAAAAUACACUUAUUUUAUUAAAUCUCUGGAAGGCGCCGUCAUCGAUUCAACAUGGGCAUUACCCGAAUGUCAUUGCCGACUUAGGAAAUGAAUUCAGCUCCACCGAAGUCCGACAUCAGUGGUGCAGAGCCGCGCCGGCAAUCCAAAGAGGUUACUGAGUGACCCAAGUAUGUACGUAUACUGCGAUUGGCGGACUCUGUCCCUCCCUCUCUCUUUCUCCCUAAGUCCAGCAUAAGUAAGUAAACGCACCAGGCUGCAAAAGCGCACGCGAGCCAAAGAGAACGAAGAACAUAAAGCAGAGCAACAGACUUUACAUAACCAAACAAAAAAAAAACUUGGCUGCAUCUCAGCUGAUUGAUGAUGGUGUUGCGACCGACCGACCGUACGUAGCGAUCGUAUUUCCCGUUGCCCAUCUGUGCUAGAUGAGUGCCGUACGGUACGGUUGCUCACCCGCUCGUGCCAUGUAAAUGUAGUGUAAUGAAGGAAUCCGAAAAAAAACCCGAAGCGAUGGGGCGGGAGAGUGAGUGCCCCCGUAUGACAAAGCAACAUAAAACGUUAUUACCUCGAU